AAAACUCUGUUUGCAUGGUGCUUGAUAUCUUGGAUAAGCAAUGUCAUGUUCUGGUAAGAGGAACCCCCAUCUUCAGGUGCCAUUUUUGCCAUUUUUCCAAGCUUUUUUGCUCUAUCUCGUCUCUCUUCUCCCUCUUCUCCCCCAUCCAUCAACCUGUCGAUAAUCCUCGUAAUUUCAACAGUCUCAACCUGUAAUCCUAUUUUUUCUUCAUCUCCAAAGGUAACAGGUAAUUCAACACCUACCCUCAAUCCUGUCUUGAGCACAUUCACAAUGAACUUCUCAUUGCAAAACUGCUCUGCGAAUAUUGGCCAUGUUAUCAUAGGUACACCAGCACAUAUGCCUUCUAGAGUCGAGUUCCAUCCGCAGUGCGUUAAGAAUCCCCCAAUAGUGGGAUGGGACAAUAUAAGUACUUGUGGUGCCCAACCAUGGAUUAAAAGGCCUCUAUCCUUAAUCCUCUCCUCGAAUUUUUCUCCAACUAGCCAUGCUUGAAAUUCAUCCGAUACCUUUCGAAUAACCCACACGAACGGUCUAUUGGACGCUUCUAAGCCUAAACCAAGCUCUAUCAGUUGUGCAGUUGCUAGUCGAGAUAAACUUCCUAGGCAAACAUAAAGAACAGAGUUCAGUUCCUGCGAAUUGAGCCAUUUCAUGCAACGAUCUUCAUCAAUUGAGGCCUUGUUACCUCUUUCAGCCUUGUCUAACUGUUCUUUGUUGUAUAAAGAAACUGGACCAAUACACCAAACCUUUUUGCCUCUCACCUUUAUAUAUUCUUUCAAAUACUCAGGUUCCAACUCUUCGAAAGUAUUAGCCACUACCCCAAAUGCUUCUGUCUCAGCCUCCUUUAUCAGCUCCCUUACAGCGUUCCAAUCUGAUGUCAUUUGAUUGACAGUUCCUCUAAGCUGAGCCUUAGUUAGUUCAAUUCCACCAGGCAAUCCAGGCACGACGAAAUACUCCAAGUCAGAGGCUAUGUUUGAUUGAAAAGGAAUUUUGGUACUUUCUCAUGUUUGUGUGGGCAAUAUGCACAUAACAUUUGUCAUAGUCAUUCAUAAUAAUAAUAAUAAUAAUAAUAAUAAUAAUAAUAAUAAUAAUAAUAAUAAUAAUAAAAAUAAAUUUGGAGGAGCCCAAAACAUUUAUGUACUUUUCGUGUUGUGCAAAGAGCACACUUCGUGCUUCACGCUGAGCAAUUUCCAUGCGUGCACUAUUCAGGUCAUCGCACAUAAAUAAAACAAGAUUACAAACACUUCUUUUUCUUUCUUAAUCCAUCUAAUCUAUCUUACAAAAUAUGUACAAAUUCCACAAAAUUUUCAGAAUUUUUAGACCUAAGAACACACGUUUUCUUAAAACAAAUGAAAUAUGCAAGAAAAAUCGAUUUUAAAAUUUAUAAUGAAGUAGAAGAAGAGCACAGACCUAGGUAUUGGACUAAUUACUUCAUAGACAAAUCUUAUCUGCACAACGUCAUCCCCAAAAUAAAGAGAAACUGCAAGUUGAUUAACAUACACAUACCAUGAGAGCCAUCAACUCUUUCUACAAUCUAAAAAUACACCAAAAUAUGCAUAAGUUCCGAUUGAAUUUCUCGAUAACUAAAGAACAAACUGGAAGUAAACACGAAAACCAACAAAUUCGAUUAAAAAACACAAAUAAGAAUAAAAAAUUACACCUUUAGGUAACAGAAUCCGUAUCAACAGAAUUAGGAGACUCCUUGACUUGCUUGCCAGAAUACAACAACAAGAGGUAGAAAAUACUGAAAAAUUAGAUGAAGAAAAUCAACAAAAUAAAGCUUUGAUUUUUUCACUCACAACACACGCUAAGUCAUUGAUAAACAACAUUUAUGUAUUCUGUAAAUUUUUGGAGGAGCCCAAAACACUGACACUUAACUUACAGACGAGACUCCAAAAAAAUUCUUCUCUUUCAAGCUUUCCAUAGUUUCAUUGAUGCUUUCUCUAAGAGGAGUAAAUUCAAUGCCCAAGGUUUUUGCUUCUCAUUUGGAAUGGAGGAUUUGUUGAAGAGGCGUGGUCGAAAAGGGUGUUUCUUUGUCAGAAGGCAUGGCUUUGCUUUGCUGAAAAACUGUGAUUCCACAAUUUUUUUGUAAAAGAAAAUAAAAAUAAAAGAGUAAAAUCCGUACAGUAUGUUUGACACAUGUCCAGCCAUUCUUUCACUCUUUGUAGAAUUCUUAUUUCAAAGAAUGCACAAUCAACAAUUUGCAUAAGACCUUCAAGUUUUUUACAAUGCCUUUGUCCAUAACAGCUAAAAUUUCAUAAAAUGAGUGUCGUAAAAAGUUUCCAUAACAUUUAUGUAGGUCGAACUACAUAAAAGGUUGUCGUGAAAAGUAAACUAAUUCGACAAGCUCUCACGAUCUAAGUAUCAAACCUCGAACUCGAGAUGGAGAGUUGGCUUACCUAAUUCCUACAAAUACAUUGGCCAAAAUUAGUGUAAUGAUAGACUGAUAGUUGAGGUCUCAAAUAAGAUGAUUUAGUCAGAAAGAAAAAAAAUUAAACAAAGAAAAGAAGGAGCUAGAGAGCUGAAUUGAAUAAGUAUACAUUUGACAAACAAACAAAUAACAGUGUGGAUCAGAAACAGUAUUCAAGUUGCAAAGGCAGUAAAAAUCAAGUUACCAAUCUAGAUCAAAAUUCUAUUAGGAUUUCUCUAUCAAAACUCUGUUUGCAUGGUGCAUGAUAUCUUGGAUAAGCAAUGACAUGUUCUGGUAAGAGGAACCCCCGUCUUCAGGUGCCAUUUUUGCCAUUUUUCCAAGCUCUUUUGCUCUAUCUCUUCUCUCUUCUCCCUCUUCUCCCCCAUCCAUCAACCUGUCGAUAAUCCUCGUAAUUUCAACAGUCUCAACCUGUAAUCCCAUUUUUUCUUCAUCUCCAAAGGUAACGGGUAAUUCAACACCUACCCUCAAUCCUGUCUUCAGCACAUUCACAAUGAACUUCUCAUUGCAAAACUGCUCUGCGAAUAUUGGCCAUGUUAUCAUAG
rnacentral:lncRNA from 1 species